AUUGAAGUCGGACGGAUGGCACAUCAUAAAGCUGUAGCUCACCACCCUGAAGAACACAGGUCAAAUCCGGGUGCCACACCUCCAGAUGUUUUAGAAAGGGUCAGGGCCCCGCUUGUUGAAUUCCAUCUUUCAACCAUCCGAUUGAUCAAAUCAUGGGGGCCCCACGAUUCGGUCAGUCGGAUAGUUCAUGGGGAUAGUUUGGUGAAUCGGAUAUGUCAUGGGGCCCAUCACAGGCUGGCGUUGUCCACCCUGUCAUGGGCUCUCUAGGACAUAUAUCUAUGCGAUAUGGCGGCUUAACCUACCUCACCUAAUCUAACCUCCUUUGAAAUCAAUUAUAUUCUUAUUAUGGUCCUAACCACUUUAAUAUUCCUACUUUUCAGAUCUAUAAUAUUCAUAUUUAUCUAUCUUCUACAGAAUAAAUCUAAGAAUAGAUUCAUUGGGUUCUCUUUUUCAAACAAUAGUAAACUUAUACAGAAUUUUAGACAAUUUGUUCGCUUCUGUCAUUUACUUUUUAACUUCACCAACAUAUCCUGGACUUCUAGCCAAUUCAGAAAUAAUGCCAACACUCAUUUUUUUAAUCCCGUUACAAAUAUUUUCUUAUUGAGUUCAUCG
rnacentral:lncRNA from 1 species